UCCUACGGGGGGCAGCAGUGAGGAAUAUUGGUCAAUGGGCGGGAGCCUGAACCAGCCAAGCCGCGUGAGGGAAGAAGGUACAGCGUAUCGUAAACCUCUUUUGUCAGGGAACAAAGGCGGGGACUAGUCCCCGGAUGAGGGUACCUGAAGAAAAAGCAUCGGCUAACUCCGUGCCAGCAGCCGCGGUAAUACGGAGGAUGCGAGCGUUAUCCGGAUUUAUUGGGUUUAAAGGGUGCGUAGGCGGUCCGUUAAGUCAGCGGUAAAAUUGCGGGGCUCAACCCCGUCGAGCCGUUGAAACUGGCAGA
rnacentral:rRNA from 1 species